GGCGGCAGGCCUAACACAUGCAAGUCGAGCGGUAGCACAGAGAGCUUGCUCUCGGGUGACGAGCGGCGGACGGGUGAGUAAUGUCUGGGAAACUGCCUGAUGGAGGGGGAUAACUACUGGAAACGGUAGCUAAUACCGCAUAACGUCGCAAGACCAAAGUGGGGGACCUUCGGGCCUCAUGCCAUCAGAUGUGCCCAGAUGGGAUUAGCUAGUAGGUGGGGUAACGGCUCACCUAGGCGACGAUCCCUAGCUGGUCUGAGAGGAUGACCAGCCACACUGGAACUGAGACACGGUCCAGACUCCUACGGGAGGCAGCAGUGGGGAAUAUUGCACAAUGGGCGCAAGCCUGAUGCAGCCAUGCCGCGUGUGUGAAGAAGGCCUUCGGGUUGUAAAGCACUUUCAGCGGGGAGGAAGGCGUUAAGGUUAAUAACCUUGUCGAUUGACGUUACCCGCAGAAGAAGCACCGGCUAACUCCGUGCCAGCAGCCGCGGUAAUACGGAGGGUGCAAGCGUUAAUCGGAAUUACUGGGCGUAAAGCGCACGCAGGCGGUCUGUCAAGUCGGAUGUGAAAUCCCCGGGCUCAACCUGGGAACUGCAUUCGAAACUGGCAGGCUAGAGUCUUGUAGAGGGGGGUAGAAUUCCAGGUGUAGCGGUGAAAUGCGUAGAGAUCUGGAGGAAUACCGGUGGCGAAGGCGGCCCCCUGGACAAAGACUGACGCUCAGGUGCGAAAGCGUGGGGAGCAAACAGGAUUAGAUACCCUGGUAGUCCACGCCGUAAACGAUGUCGAUUUGGAGGUUGUGCCCUUGAGGCGUGGCUUCCGGAGCUAACGCGUUAAAUCGACCGCCUGGGGAGUACGGCCGCAAGGUUAAAACUCAAAUGAAUUGACGGGGGCCCGCACAAGCGGUGGAGCAUGUGGUUUAAUUCGAUGCAACGCGAAGAACCUUACCUGGUCUUGACAUCCACAGAACUUUCCAGAGAUGGAUUGGUGCCUUCGGGAACUGUGAGACAGGUGCUGCAUGGCUGUCGUCAGCUCGUGUUGUGAAAUGUUGGGUUAAGUCCCGCAACGAGCGCAACCCUUAUCCUUUGUUGCCAGCGGUUCGGCCGGGAACUCAAAGGAGACUGCCAGUGAUAAACUGGAGGAAGGUGGGGAUGACGUCAAGUCAUCAUGGCCCUUACGACCAGGGCUACACACGUGCUACAAUGGCAUAUACAAAGAGAAGCGACCUCGCGAGAGCAAGCGGACCUCAUAAAGUAUGUCGUAGUCCGGAUUGGAGUCUGCAACUCGACUCCAUGAAGUCGGAAUCGCUAGUAAUCGUAGAUCAGAAUGCUACGGUGAAUACGUUCCCGGGCCUUGUACACACCGCCCUCACACCAUGGGAGUGGGUUGCAAAAGAAGUAGGUA
rnacentral:rRNA from 1 species